rnacentral:tRNA from 1 species
GAGGGUAUAGCCUAGUGGUAGAGCAUGUGCUUAGCAUGCGCAAAGUCCUGGGUUCAAUCCUCAGUAUCGCCA